AUGAUGGUAGUUGUACCAUCAUCAUCAUCACAUUAACUACCAUCAUCACGAUGGUAGUUAAUGUGAUGAUGAUGGUACAACUACCAUGUUGGUAGUUGUACCAUCAUCAUCAUCACAUUAACUACCAUCAUCACGUAGUUAAUGUGAUGAUGAUGGUACAACUACCAUGUA